GCCACGGUGGUCUAGCGGUCAGAACACUAGCCUUGUAAGCCUGGGGUCCCGGGUUCAAUUCCCGGCGGUGCUC
rfam:Zootermopsis nevadensis contig28947, whole genome shotgun sequence.